rnacentral:rRNA from 1 species
AGAAUCUUCCGCAAUGCGCGCAAGCGUGACGGAGCGACGCCGCGUGGGUGAUGAAGGCCUUCGGGUUGUAAAGCCCUGUCAGCCGCUAAGAACCGCAGGCGGUGAAUAGCCGUCCUGCCUGACUAUGCGGCAGAGGAAGCCCCGGCUAAAUACGUGCCAGCAGCCGCGGUAAUACGCAUGGUGCAAACGUGGUUAGGAAUCACUGGGCUUAAAGAGCGCGUAGGCGGUUGGAUAAGUCGGAUGUGAAAUCCCUCGGCUCAACCGAGGAACUGCAACCGAUACUGUCUCACUGGAGUGCAGGAGGGGAGAGUGGAAUUCCUGGUGGAGCGGUGAAGUGCGUAGAUAUCAGGAGGAACGCCGGCGGCGAAAGCGACUCUCUGGCCUGUUACUGACGCUGAGGCGCGAAAGCUAGGGGAGCAAAC